rnacentral:rRNA from 1 species
AAAGCGUGCGCAGGCGGUUCGGAAAGAAGGAUGUGAAAUCCCAGGGCUUAACCUUGGAACUGCAUUCUUAACUACCGGGCUAGAGUAUGUCAGAGGGGGGUGGAAUUCCGCGUGUAGCAGUGAAAUGCGUAGAUAUGCGGAGGAACACCGAUGGCGAAGGCAGCCCCCUGGGAUAAUACUGACGCUCAUGCACGAAAGCGUGGGGAGCAAACAGGAUUAGAUACCCGGGU